GUCGUUUCCGCCUUAUCUGUCUCUCAGUGCGCCGUCCGCCGCCGGCCGAAUAACUGCGCGAUCGGAAUCGAGUCGCGGGGCUGCGAUUUAAACGCCCCUAUUUUUCCCGCCGGUAAACAACGAAGGCGCGAAAUCCCGCGCGCGCCAAUUUUCUCAGCCCUUGGAAAAAUCCGGACGAUUGUUGAAAUAAGAUCGGUGCAACAGAGGGCGAGUUUAUCGGUUGUGUUCUCUCUCACUCUUGGUAUUUGUGCGCUUUUGUGAAUGUCGCAAAUUACUCUUGGAAAGUAAAUAAAUUAACAAAUAAAAACGAAUUUUCUGUUACUUCGUACAAGGUGUGUUUAAAAUGUUUUUACUCGUUUCGUUUCGUGGGAAAAUCGUUGUUUUGUACAGAGAAAUUUCAGCAGAUAGUUGAAUAACGGUAAAACAUGCAAAAAAAAAAAAAUUAAAAUAUUCAUAUUCUACGAGUAAAGGAAAUGAUGAAAGAAAUUUGUCGCGGAGAAGAAUAAAUCAACUGUAAAUUUAGUGAUUGGCAAAUGAAAUUAUUUGUAACAGAGAAAAAAUAAAGAGAAAAAGAAUAUUCAAUUUCAAUCGUAGGUACGAUAAUACGUUUUGAAGAUAAGAGAAAGCACUUUUCGCUUCGGGGUGUAUAAUUUGAAGGUUCGUGUUGUGAAAUUAGUAGUCGGGAGUGCGGUAUUUUGUGAAUGUGCGCGCGUGUGUGUUUCGUUGAGUUUUUUAAAAUACUUAUUCGGACGAUAGGUAUUCGGAAAAUUUACAAAUAAAAUCAUGUGGUGGGUGAUUAUUAUACCGCUCCUUGGACUAACGGCCAUCGACGCUGUUGUAUUCGCUGCUCGAGUCACGGGGAGCUCUCCUCAAAAACUUGCACCCCUGGUCGACGUUACGAGCGUCGAGGGUCAGAACGUCGAAUUAUCAUGCGACAUAUCACCGCCGAUACACGACAAACUCCACAUGGUGCUUUGGUACAAAAACGACGACGGAGUUCCGAUAUACACAUUCGACGUUAGGGGCAGAUCGUUGGAACACGCGGAGCACAAGUCCGAGUUGUUCGGUAGUCGGGCGUAUUUCAGAACCGCCGUCCAACAGCCGGCCGUGCUUGUUAUCGACCAGAUAAAACGACACGACGCAGCAUCGUACAGAUGCAGAGUCGACUUCCGCAAGGCGCAGACGAGGAGCUUCCGGUACAACCUGACAGUUAUCGUGCCCCCCGAGCUACCGGCCAUUUUGGACAGAUGGGGUCGUGUCUUGAACGACAGCGUUGGCCCCUACCAAGAGGGUGACGAAUUGCUGCUCAACUGUCGGGUGAUUGGCGGUAAACCACCGCCGCUUGUCAGAUGGCUGAUAAACGGAAUCGUAAGGGAUCAAGAAUCGGAAAUUCGAGCGGGUGACGUAAUCGAGAACAGAUUGACGUUGUCAUCGAUAAGCCGUUCCGAUCUCGGCACGAGAUUCACCUGCCAGGCACUGAACACAAAACUCGUCGAGCCUAAAACAGCUUCGCUGAUCCUCGAGAUGAAUCUGAAACCGUUAACGGUGAAGAUAAAAAAACCGGGAUCAACAACGACGACUAUUAACAACGGAAUUGGCGAGGCUCUCAGGGCUGGCAAGCUGUACAAGGUCGCAUGCGAGACAACCGGCUCCAGGCCUCCGGCUAUCAUUACUUGGUACGAGGGACAGAAGCUCCUGAUGGGCGACAAGAGGAAACCCUGGGAGGAAGAAACUCGAGAGAAUCGAACCGUCAGUUUGCUCAGCUUCCAGCCGAGGGUCGAGGACAAUGGAAAAACUAUCACUUGCAGGGCCGAGAAUCGAAACGUGACCGGUCUACACUUGGAAACUUCCUGGGUUAUAAACGUCGAAUAUCCGCCAAUCGUUUCGCUGAGGUUGGGAUUAACUUUGAGCCCUGAGGACAUCAAGGAAGGGGUUGACGUCUAUUUCGAGUGUCACGUCAAGGCGAAUCCGCCGUGGAGGAAGCUAACCUGGUAUCACAACAACGAGCUGCUGGUACACAAUUCGUCGGCAAAAACGAUAAUAUCGAACCAGAGUCUGGCUCUUCAAACUGUGACAAGGGGCAGCGCCGGUCUUUACAUUUGCGCAGCGAGCAACGAUCUAGGCGAAACAAGAAGCGAGCCGCUACCCUUCAGAGUGAAAUUUACCCCCGUCUGCAAGGACGAAAGGGUGAUCGUUGUCGGGGCUUCGAAGGGCGAGUCGUUGGACGUCGUGUGUCGGGUCGAAGCACAUCCGCCCGCCCACAGCUUCCGGUGGAAGUUCAACAACAGCGGGGAGACUCUGGAAGUCGUUUCCAGCACCCAUCGGGUAUCGAACAACGGAGUCAGCAGCACCCUCAGGUACACCCUGAGCAGCGAACGCGAUUACGGAACUCUAAGCUGUUGGGCGGACAACGCGGUCGGUUCGCAGACAAAACCGUGCCUCUUCCAACUGGUUGCCGCAGGAAAACCUUCCCCCGUGAGAAACUGCUCGUUGGCAAAUCAGACAUACACGAGCGUUGAGGUGCGUUGUGUGCCAGGAUACGACGGCGGUUUGCCACAGCGUUUCGUCCUCGAGGUUUUCCACGGCGACAUUGAUUUCUUAUCGAGCACCCAACCGCUUUACAACGUUUCGAAUCUCGACGAGCCGGUUUUUUCCCUAGCUGGCAUCGAGGCGACCGUCGAUGCCGGUGUUCACGUUGCCGUUUACGCCGUCAACGCCAAGGGGCGAAGCACCGCCGUCGUACUCAGCGAAGUCACCUUCAGAGACGCUGAGAAACGAACCGGUCAGCAUUCCGGUAUGGCGAUGUCACCGUUGAUAGGAGUGGCAGUGGGAGCGGCGGUUACUCUGGGAUCAGUCGUCUUAGUCGUGAUGAUAAGAGCACGUCGAGAGCGGGUCUCGAAGACCCGGAAUCACGAGAAAACAACGGAAAUAAACGACGUUCCAAACUCCCAGCAGUACCCUCUGCAAAACAUUCAAACGACCAUCGAGACCGACCCUGAUGUUAUUCCAAAUAAAUUUGAGUUUCUCAUGAUGCGCGACUACAGUAGGAGAAACUGGAGAAGAAGAAUAUUACAAAGACGUGAAAGGAGACGCGGGUAUCGUGAAGAUUACUUAAGAUGCAGGCUCUCAGUUCUCCCUGGAGGACGCGAACUUCGACCUGUCUCCUUUCUUCUUCACUCCUCCACCUCAGGGGGCAAAAAAUGAAUGAAACGCUUACAGAAUGCCUAAUCCGGAGACACUGCAUGAUCUGGAACCUCGUGCACACCGCCCUCCACCUCCUUUAUCGCCGCUGCUGACUUCCUCGCAGGGGAAAAAUAGCUCGGACAUCUUUUCCUCCAGCUUCGUCGGAACGCCGAUCGUCAGUCCCACUAUACUCAGUACCGCUCUGUUGUAACCGUCCAAUAGUUUGUGCCUCACGUUUUCCAGGUGUGGAACCUUCGUCUGUAUCAAGUGUAGUGUACCAAUUAUUGCAAUAUUUCUUAUUUAUUUCUAAGUGCACACUUUACAGAUUUAUAUAUAUAUAUAUAUGUAUAUAUAAAUUUUUUGCAUCAGUAUUUGUCAAAAAUUUUUCAAGCCGUACCUUAAGAAAAAAAUUAAAUAAUGAACCACUCUACUAAACAUACUGUACGCUUUGAUUUUGAUGAAACUGUAAAUCGUCAUGUUUGAGAACACUGAAUAAA
rnacentral:misc_RNA from 1 species